rnacentral:tRNA from 1 species
AAAAAUUUAGUUAAAAUCUAUAUAACAUUAGCUUGUCAAGCUAAAUUUAUCUAAUUGAUAAUUUUUU